GUUAUUUUGGCAGAGUAGUGCGAUUGAUUUAGAAUCAUUGUAUGUAAUUAUAUUUACAAGUAAUAC
rnacentral:tRNA from 1 species